GAGCUCUUUCUGAGAUGAAGAGAAUUCUCAAUGUCAAGAUUUGAACAAGAAGAGAAUGGAAUACACAAUAUGGACAUCCAUAAAAAUUCAUCAGAGAGCAUUUUACUACUGAGCUGCAAAGGGAAAAACUUAAAAUGGAUAUGAAAAGUGAAGAAAGUGAUCAUAGGAGAAAACCAUUUCAGGUGUCUGAUGAUUUGUGAGCCUCAAGUGACUACUCUGUGGAAUCAUCUGUCCUUGCCUUUGAAUUAGCUUUCCCUAGGCCAUGAGUCAACAUUAGUAGUUUAUACAUCCAAAUUGAUGACAAGAGCACCUCAAAGGCAGCAGCCUCAAGGAGCAGCCAUGGCCCCAGACUUGUCGCACGGAUGCAGAAAACUUAAUGGAGGAGGCUGAGGUCAGAAUGGGAAGAGUUUUUAAAAAAUAAA
rnacentral:lncRNA from 1 species